AGAGUUUGAUCCUGGCUCAGGACGAACGCUGGCGGCGUGCCUAACACAUGCAAGUCGAACGGAACUGUUUUGAAAGAUUUCUUCGGAAUGAAUUUGAUUUAGUUUAGUGGCGGACGGGUGAGUAACGCGUGAGUAACCUGCCUUCAAGAGGGGGAUAACAUUCUGAAAAGAAUGCUAAUACCGCAUGACAUAUCGGAAUCACAUGGUUCUGAUAUCAAAGAUUUUAUCGCUUGAAGAUGGACUCGCGUCCGAUUAGUUAGUUGGUGAGGUAACGGCUCACCAAGACCGCGAUCGGUAGCCGGACUGAGAGGUUGAACGGCCACAUUGGGACUGAGACACGGCCCAGACUCCUACGGGAGGCAGCAGUGGGGGAUAUUGCGCAAUGGGGGCAACCCUGACGCAGCAACGCCGCGUGAAGGAUGAAGGUUUUCGGAUUGUAAACUUCUUUUAUUAAGGACGAAAAAUGACGGUACUUAAUGAAUAAGCUCCGGCUAACUACGUGCCAGCAGCCGCGGUAAUACGUAGGGAGCAAGCGUUGUCCGGAUUUACUGGGUGUAAAGGGUGCGUAGGCGGCUUUGCAAGUCAGAUGUGAAAUCUAUGGGCUCAACCCAUAAACUGCAUUUGAAACUGUAGAGCUUGAGUGAAGUAGAGGCAGGCGGAAUUCCCCGUGUAGCGGUGAAAUGCGUAGAGAUGGGGAGGAACACCAGUGGCGAAGGCGGCCUGCUGGGCUUUAACUGACGCUGAGGCACGAAAGCGUGGGUAGCAAACAGGAUUAGAUACCCUGGUAGUCCACGCUGUAAACG
rnacentral:rRNA from 1 species